ACAGGACCACUGGGUUAUUUGGCUAUAAAGAUCGCAUGACCCUUGCCCAAGGCUUAGGGCGACAAUUCAAGCCUUGCCCAAGGGUCAACAACUUCAUGGUCUUUUCACAAAUUGGAUGCAAGUCUUGCCCAAUGCUUAUGCCCCGGUACUACGUGGGAUCCAAUUUGGAAACAUUUACUAAUCCUUGCCCAAGGCUUGUGAUGCAACUACGUAUGGGGGUUGAUUUCGGGCAGCUACAUUAGCCUUGCCCAAGACUUAUGGCGCAACAACACGCGGGGACAAAACUUAAACAAAAAGAACUCACAUAAGCCUUGCCCAAGGUUUAUGAUUGUUGGCAGUUCGAACUCGUACAUUUUUAUGAUUCUUGCCCAAGGCUUAGCAAAAGAAAAAAAAGAAACCAAAAACAGAAAAAGAAUAAAUUCUUUUUCAUAUCUACCAAAGCCUUGGCCUAGCCGGAACUCCUCCCCAUCCCGAACUCCUCAACCCCCUUCUUCCUUUAGAUCUGAACAAGCCCUACCUGUUAACCACCCAAAAGUAGAAUAAUGAGGCAAAAGAGAUCUGCCAGAAAACACGGAGUCCUCAGACCCACAAAGUGACUUGCCGAAUAGUCGCCAUCAUAAACCCCAGCACCACUAAUAGCUCCAGAAUCCCAAGCACGGAAUACAGUCGACCCCAUAGUGCAACUGGUUCUGGAACGACCAGUCUACUAAACUGCAGCUUCGUAAUAGAUGUCCUUGACUCUCGACCCAGAUGCUCCCACACUCUGACAACCGAAACGAGCUAGCGACCACACGACCUAACCCUCAACAGCCUCCAGAAAAGCCAACCGGUGAAAGCCCAGAAGCCGAUAGAACUAGAAAGCGGGCACGAGUCAGAAAAGGCACACAUAUUCACAACCUGCUGAAUCCAAACUACGCGAUCAUCUCGCUUUCAAGGAUGAUGUGGAAAAAGAAAGGUAUGAGGAAAUCCGUCAACUUCCAAUUUUUCCUGGACCACCCGAGCCCAGAAACAUGAGAAUAUAUGGCAAAAAGAAAGAGCAAGCAGAACCCACUGCCACUGAUUCUCAAAGGCAGAACCCCCACUACAAACCGAGAGAAAUUCAUGGACUACAUCUUGAUGCACAAUCGGAUGAUUGACAGGUGCUUGCAUAACCUCGAACAGCUAACCUGCCAAUUAGUAGACAAAGUUGAAGUGUUAGGCCGCCCCUCGGCCCCGCACCAGAUAAACCUCCAGUGUAUCCCACCUCCCAGCCAUAAUACCGGGGAAGUUUCCGUCUCCUUUCUUUUUCCUAUAUUUUUAUUUUAUUCAUCCUUUUUGCAUCGCAUUAGGGACAAUGUGCCAUUUAAGUGUGGAGGAGGGACAUGCUGCAUUUUUAGGUUUCUAUUUUGAUUCUGUUGGUAGACAUAUAAUCUUAGCCUUGUCCAAGGCGCACACAGAUGCACUUUCGAUAGUUUUUAACCCACCUUUUUCACUACUGCCAUAGUUAUUUCCAAGAUAAUUCAACUAUGAUAUUUCAAGAAUUAAAUUACAUUUUCAGUAACCUUCUAGAAUUUCUGGCUUGUUUUUCAUCUUUUCACACUAUGAAGAAGCUUCCUUGGUAAUGUGUCUUAACAUAACUUGUUUAGGGGUCGCAUUUAAUUGAUUUUCUUGUCUUGAAGUGAAUGUCAAUUCUUAGGAAAACUCUAUUACAACUUGUCAUGAUUUGUGUGUCUAGAAUUUUAUGGUUCAUUUGAAAAAAAAAAAAAAAGAAAGAGAGCACAAAUAAUAAUCUACUCUUCUAGUCUCUUGAAAUCGUGAUCAACUGAGUAACCAGGUGUAUUCAUCACAAAUGUUUGCCUUUGCAUCAAAAAGUUAGUAACAUUUUAAUAUAUCCAUAUGACUAUAAGUAGCGCUAGUAAUCACUUGAAUUUGUGACCAACUGAGUAACCGGAUGCAUUCAUCAUAAAUGUUUGCCCUUGCGUCAAAAAAGUUGUGACAAUUCAAGCAAACAAUAAAGGUACCCGGGAAAUAAUCCCUAAUAAAUCUUUUGUUCUAACAUGAACCCAUUUGCAUGAAAAUUUUAUGUCUAGGAAGGUUUGUUCUGGAUUUUGCACUAGUUAUUGGUUGUUUUUCUCAAGAUAAAAAUAUGUUUAAAAACCUGCAGAACUUUUCUAUUUUAUGCUCAAAAACUAUUCAGAGUAGUUAUUCAUUAGUGUGAUUCCAUGAGACUCAAGCCUAGAAAUACUACAUAGUGACUGUUUUUCCAAUUUUAAAGAUUGAGAUGUAACAUGCAAAUUGUGAGGGUAUGGCUAGGGAUAGUUGGGUUACAGGUGAAAGGUUGAGAAUUAUGGAACAAUAUCGUAGAGUGUUUGAGGGUAAGCAAAAUAUAAGUGUGGGGGGAGUGUGAUAACACGCAUAAACAACAUCUUUAUUGAUUAUUUUGAGUGCGUAAUUGAACUGCUUAUAACCUAAUCUGAGUGAUUUUAUCUAUUUUGAUGCAGGAAAGAUGACAAAA